rnacentral:tRNA from 1 species
CAGAAAAUAGUUUAAAUAAAAUAUUAGUUUUGGGGAUUAAUGAUGGGAGAGUUCUCUUUUCUGA